UGCUGGAUACGCGGAUUAUGAUCCCAAUAAUGCCAAUCAUCCAAUCAUUCAUUUGACUAUCAUGCCUACCUGAACGAUUACCAAGCCCAGCCCCUAACUCUCCCUAAAAAGUUUAAAUUUAUGCUACAAAACCCUCAAAGGUGGAUCUCCUUCUGACUAUCCUCGCCUAUCCCUCGAUUGGCAUUCGCAUUCAAACACCUGUGCUCUUCUGUUUCCUGCCACGGUUAACGCCGGGGAAGAGAUCAGUCGCUCAGUUCGUUCAGUCCGGCUGAUUCCUAGGUACGUUUGCUUAGCUAAGCCUUUUUGCCCAUUCAGGUUUGUCGUCAGGUGUAGGCGGAUAGGUAGGGAUAGGAAUCGUUUGGCUUGUCCCGGGUCAAUCCCUUGGUCUAGGGGUUUGUCAACAUGGGCACUGUGCACACGUCAUAUCUCGUUGCUGGCUCUCCCCGAAUCACCCACAGAUUCUCAUUGAAAUUCCUCCUUUGAAUGUCUCGGUCUCGGACCACCAUCACAACUUUGCGGAACCAUUUCAUUUAUUGAUGGAAUUAAACCGAGUUGAUUGGUUUUAUGCCAUCUGACGAUCCUAGUCUUCGUGUCGCCCUGCUUUGCUUCCAUCCCAGGAUGCAGGGAUGCGAUUCAGAAAACCAAGGAGUGCCUCGUUCUGUUGCUUGCUUAAGAAUUGUAUGGCCAAAAAGGUGGGAUCUGGACGUGAAGCACUACGGGCCUGGGUCGGCUCCCGGUUUAUAUCAGGAAUCUUAAAGAGAAGAUACCACAGCUGAUUGUCCAACUAGCGGAAGAAAAUGGGAACUGGAGCGAAAGAAGAAGGAGCUCGCAGACGAGAUAGUGUGCAGAGAUGAUGAAGUCUGCUUCACACUUGGUUGUCGGAAAGAAAGUCCUGUCCAGUCUUGAACUAAUCAACUACUCUACUCAACUCAGUAAGUAAAAGACAAAGAAAGCAAGUCAACCCUAUAUUCCAUUCCAAAAGAAUCUUUCCCUCCAACCAAAA
rnacentral:lncRNA from 1 species